UAGAAUAAUUUGGCGAUCACAAGUAAGUUUUAUAAAGGGAGAAUGUAUAACAAUCGUGCGGUAUUAAAUGUCUCUAUACACGUGUGAAUCAUUAAAAUGAGAAAAUCAGAAAAUUGACAGAAAUAUUAUUUUAUUCCUCCUGCGAGCUUCAUUUGACAAAUUGCGAAUCGAAUCACCCUGACGAUGUAAACAGCGACGUUGAAUUUCGACGUUUAAUGAUCAAUUUGUUCAAACGGCUCUCGCGACAAGAGAAAGAGAGAGGGGCAGCGCUGAGUAGCGACAUCGAAACGAUAUCGUCGAUAUUGGAAAAUCGUAUCACCGACGUACGGUACGUACGUACAGAGAAUCGGUGGAAACGAGGUUAAACUGUUUCUCCGACUCCCCUGUUCCUGUUCUCCUUGAACCCCUUGGCACGAUUAAAUUAUGUAUGCACCGGAGUGCAAAAAUAUGGGUGAAGUUAUGAUCUCCGAUUCCAGCGGGGUCGAAAAACACCGCUAUACAUAAACGAACGAGUAAGAAAAUUCAAGCUGUGAUUCUUCCAUUUUUUUCCACUAUUUUUGUAACAGCGAAGCAUUCACUCUCGCUUUCCCGUUUCUGGAGAAAGGAAAGAAAGAAAAGAAAGAAGAAAUUCGCAAAACUGGCGACGAAACGCGUAUCCGUUCGCGAGGGGGGAGGAGAACGAGGGUUAGAUUUAGGUUAAGUUUACAUCAAGUUUAGGUUAGGUUUAGAAAGAAAGGAAAACAACGAAGGAAUUCGCAAAAAUGACGCGAUAUCUCUUCGACGAAAUACAUAGUAUUCGUUUGCGUGGAGGGGAGAAGAGUUAGGUUUAGGUUAGGUUUAGAAAGAAAGAAAAAAAAGAAGAAAAUCGCGAACAUUUAGGUUAGGUUUAGAAACAAAAAAAAAAAAAAGAAGAAGAAAUUCGCAAAAAUCGCGAACAUUUAGGUUAGGUUUAGAAAGAAAGAAAGAAGAGAAGAAACUCGCAAAAAUCGCGAACAUUUAGGUUAGGUUUAGCUCAGGUUUAGAAAGAAAG